rnacentral:rRNA from 1 species
GGCAACCCUGACGGAGCAACGCCGCGUGUGGGAGGACGGCCUUCGGGUUGUAAACCACUUUUCUCAGGGAAGAAGGACUGACGGUACCUGAGGAAUAAGCCUCGGCUAACUCCGUGCCAGCAGCCGCGGUAAGACGGAGGAGGCAAGCGUUAUCCGGAAUUAUUGGGCGUAAAGCGUCCGCAGGGGGCGCAUCAAGUCUGCUGUCAAAGGUCGGAGCUUAACUCCGGUUCGGCAGUGGAAACUGGUGCGCUAGAGGGCGACAGGGGUAGAGGGAAUUCCCAGUGUAGCGGUGAAAUGCGUAGAGAUUGGGAAGAACACCGGUGGCGAAAGCGCUCUACUGGGUCGCACCUGACCCUCAGGGACGAAAGCUAAGGUAGCG